UUUAUACACAUCUACAAUAAUGUAUUAUACUGUUCAACUAGUACUUCUAGUGAUAAGUUCAUUUUCAGUGUUUUGAAAAAGCCUUUGCAAACUGUUCUUUUUUUUCUUCUUUCUUUUGUAAUGCUUAGCUGAGCGCUGUUAUCAAACCGGACUCAUGAUCAGCUUCCACCGCUCUUACUGCAGCUUCGCUCCUCUCUGUUACAGCAAAGCUAAACUUCAAGGUCGCUAAAUCCUCAUCCGAGAUCCGCGGCGCAGAUUGGAGGUUUAGCCGUACAAACAGAGGCGCUGUGGAGGAGCAAACACGUUAAUUCAUCAACUUUGGAGGAGGCGGAGGAAUCUGAAAUUUACUCAAAUUCUUAUUGAUCUUUUGAUCAUUCUUCUAUAUUUUGACAUCUGUUGAAGAAGGAUUAACACUUUCAUAACUCAGAUUAUUAGAUUGUUAUUAAACUGAUGCUUUAAAAGUGACAAUUAGCAUAUUUUAUUGAUCUCUGAAGGCAAAUAAAAUCAUAUUUGCCGCUUUUUUUUAAAAGCAGAACAAGUAUCAGUCUCCCUGGUGUUUGGAUGAUUUUGUUCUCCACAGCUGCUGAAAUGUUUUAAAGCUAAAGCUCCCAUCUGCACCAACAGAGCACGUUACCCUCCAUCCAUCCAUCCAUCAUCUUCUUCUCUGGUCCCGAUCAUCCCUAAAAUCCCGGCCCAUAACCCUCCUCUCUGCUCCUUAUUGGUUGAUCAGCUUCCUUCUGAAACAAUCGAGGAAUUCAAACAAAAAAAGGGACAUUUGUAGCUUUAAGGAGGAAACGAAGCGCUUUUCUUUACAGAGAUGGAGAAUGUGAAGGAAGAUUUCUUGAAACCCCAGCUUUGUGUUUGCAACCGUCCGUUCAGUCAAGUCAACAAGCCGAGCCUUCACUGUCCCAUCUUUAAAUGUCUUUAUCUUUCAUGAUUUCUCCUCAUUCUACCACUUCUCUUCAACCAACUUCCAAUAUGUUACAAACUGAAACUUUGUACUUAACAAAAGAAAUGAGUAAAGUAUUUCCCUUCAAGGGACACAAAAAAUGAUUUUGUUAGUGAAUCUGUCCCAUUAAAUCCCUUCCCUUUUCCUCCUUUUCAAAGGAAUGUUUCAUUUCUUAAACUCACAUCUGUUAUCUGGUUUUAGCGUCGUGCUUCAGGGAGGCGCAGACAUACUUCACUGAAGACAAAUAGAGAAGCUGCUCCGUCUGGCUUCAGUUUGACUCUCCCACAGCUACACUUGGUAGCAUUAAUUACAGAUUGGUCCUGAACCCACGCACAAAGUGUAAAUAAAAGGAGAGAAGCCGAUUUUUUUUUUUUUCUUUUAGCGCCACUUCCAGGAAUAUAUAUAACUUUGACAAAUCACAAUUAGAACCAAUCAUUUCCAGACCUAAGAGACCUUCUUCAUUUUCUUUAUCCGUUGCUUUUUCCGUCUUAUUUUAGCAAAUAUUUAAACAAACUGAAGUGUAAACAUCAUUUUAUCGCAACAUCUAUCUUUGGAUAUAAAGUAUAAUCAUCACAAAUCAAGUCACAGCUGUUUUAAUACUUUAAGUCACUUUGAAGCACCUCAUAUUAUUGUACUUCUUUAAAAAAUAAUCUGUUUUAGUCAGCACUUACAUCCUUUUUUUUGCUGAAGUAAGGUUUAUCGAUUGAGCUGCCUCUUCUUUAAGCGUUUCUUCCUGCUCCCUCGUGACAUUUCCAAACAAUCAUUCAUGCUUUCAAAGCUUUUCCUCCUCCUCCUCCUCAUGCUGUCUCAUUUGUCCUCACACAAGGUGUUCACAUCUCUGCUGCCACUCCGUUUCUCCUCCACUCUCCAUCAGUUCUUCAAUACAAUAUAAUAUGAAUGUUGCAGGAGUUUAUCCUUCUGUACUCUGUUUAAAAGAAUGUUGUGCCAUUUGUUAAUAGCAAAGAGAACUAUUGAACAUAUAUGAAAAAGAAGAGCUAUUUUAAAUUAUUUUUUGGCUUUUUUUGCUAUAUUUAUUUUCUUGUAUUAGAAUCUUCUUUGUAGGAGGGAAACAAAAAAAUUUAUUUUUCAUUAGUGCGAAAAACCUAUUUUCUUCCUUUUUGUACAAUUUCCAUGUUUAAAGCGAGACUUUGAAAAGCAAUAUGAUGAUGAUGAUGAUGAUGAUGAUGUUUCCUGUGACUGUAUCUGCAUGCUGUUUGUGUUGCCUUAAUGAUGGCUGCAUCCCUCUAUGCCCCCACCCACUCCAACCCAGUCAUUCUAAUCUCUUAUCCCUCCCCGCCCUCAAAAAAAUCAGUCCCAUCUGAUCCAGUCCAGUGCAGUCAAUAAAGCAGUGCUUUCCGUGUGCUGAAGUCUGCCUCUCUUUUUGAAACUCUAGAUCGCAAAGCUUUGAUUUUUUUUUUUUUUUUUUUUUUUUUCAGGAGGUGUUUUUUCAGCUAAAAUGACUAAAAGGUUACCAUGUUUUCCUAUAGUUUUCUUUUGUAGAGAUUUUCAAAGUUAGAUUUUCAAGUAAGGGGUAAUUACGGUGGCCUUGAAGUCCAAAAUGGUACAAUAAUUUAAAAAAACUCGCUUUGCAGCAGCUGGUGCAUGAAAACUAACCAGUGGAGGAUCCAAACCCCAGAAAAUCUUAAGAAGAGCAUGUCCAUGACUGCCAGGGGCUUCUCACCACGGCCAACAAAUCUCUCUUCCAAAUGGACCCGGACCUGCUGCCAAGUCAACCCUGGAGUGGCUUCACAACAGAAAUGUGAAAGUGUUUCAGUGGCUCAGAUACCAGACUUCAUGUCAAGACAAAAAAAUCUGUGGAAUGGUUUUGGUCGAGCCAGAUAAAUCAAAAAAGCCCAAGUAUCCGACAGAGGCUUCCAAGUUGAAAACAAAGGAGGACGUUUUAUUGUGAAAUUUUAAUGUUCUAAAAAAUUUUCAGCAAUAAAAAUGCCUCUCUUUUUUUAUUUAUUUAUUUAUUUUUUUAA